CACAUUUCAGUACAAACAUGUGCUUUCUGAAAUUCAUUUUGCUGCUGCUCAUUUCAUCACAUAUAAGUGGUGGCUGUCGGCCCAGUAUCAGUGUUAUAGCAGGACCAAGUGUUUGCUCCGGUCAGGACUUUACCCUCACAUGUCAGUUGGAUUGUGAUGGACCAUCAAGCCAUGUAAAACUGGUGAAAGAAGAACAAAUUCUUGAGUCUUCUAAUAACUGUCUCACCAUACACGUUCACAGUGCAAAUAAGAAUCAUUCAGGAACAUAUAGCUGCCAAACAGAGAAUGGUUCAAAGAGCAGGGUUUAUGUAACAGUGAAAGACUGUAGUUUUUCUUCAACUUACAUAUCAGAAUACUUACCCACUAUAAAUACAACAUCACCCUCUCUGAUUAAUACCACAUACCAA